rnacentral:rRNA from 1 species
UACGAAGGGUGCUAGCGUUGUUCGGAAUUACUGGGCGUAAAGCGUGCGUAGGCGGCUUAGUAAGUCGAUUGUGAAAGCCCCGGGCUUAACCCGGGAAUUGCAGUCGAUACUGCUUUGCUAGAGUCUGAUGGGGGAUAGUGGAAUUCCUAGUGUAGGGGUGAAAUCCGUAGAUAUUAGGAGGAACACCAGUGGCGAAGGCGACUAUCUAUGUCAGUACUGACGCUGAGGCACGAAAGCGUGGGGAGCAAACAGGAUUAGAUACCCUGGUAGUCCACGCAGUAAACGAUGAGUGCUAGCUAUCGGGAUUUAGUUUCGGUGGCGAAGCUAACGCGUUAAGCACUCCGCCUGGGGAGUACGGUCGCAAGACUA